rnacentral:rRNA from 1 species
UGAGGAAUUUUGGACAAUGGGCGAAAGCCUGAUCCAGCAAUGCCGCGUGUGUGAAGAAGGCCUUCGGGUUGUAAAGCACUUUUGUCCGGAAAGAAAUCCUUGGCUCUAAUACAGUCGGGGGAUGACGGUACCGGAAGAAUAAGCACCGGCUAACUACGUGCCAGCAGCCGCGGUAAUACGUAGGGUGCAAGCGUUAAUCGGAAUUACUGGGCGUAAAGCGUGCGCAGGCGGUUUGCUAAGACCGAUGUGAAAUCCCCGGGCUCAACCUGGGAACUGCAUUGGUGACUGGCAGGCUAGAGUAUGGCAGAGGGGGGUAGAAUUCCACGUGUAGCAGUGAAAUGCGUAGAGAUGUGGAGGAAUACCGAUGGCGAAGGCAGCCCCCUGGGCCAAUACUGACGCUCAUGCACGAAAGCGUGGGGAGCAAACAGGAUUAGAUACCCUGGUAGUCCACGCCCUAAACGAUGUCAACUAGUUGUUGGGGAUUCAUUUCCUUAGUAACGUAGCUAACGCGUGAAGUUGACCGCCUGGGGAGUACGGUCGCAAGAUUAAAACUCAAAUGAAUUGACGGGGUCAUAGCUGUUUCCU